GGUGAUUGCCAAAACCUAUCUUCCAGGGAUUUAGAGAUAAAGGAAGCUUCCAAAGGAACUUUUUUGUGUUAAAGUAGAUUUACAGAAUCCUGGUUGCAGUGGUGGGGAGGGGUCACACUCGGAUUGCCUUUUGCCCUUGGCAGUGAAUAAAGACCAGACCCCUCCCUUGGGGAGUCUGUGUUCUGGAGAAGUCGGGCAAGAAACAAGAGUUAAUACAAAAAAGGAUGUAGUGUCUUAAAAGGAUAGAUGUGAUGGGAAGAAAACCCAUACAAGGGGAUGGAGAGAAUAGAGGAAAGGUGCCCCGGGAAGGCGUCAGUGAGAAGGGGAAAUUUGGGUAAAGACCUGAAGGAGGAGAGGGAGGACCCAAGGGAUAUUUGGGGGGAAGAGCAUUCCAGGCCACGAGAACAGCCAGUGCAAAGGCCCUGAGGUCAAAGCAGGUAAGGAGUGUUAGAGGAAGAGGAGAUGAUGCAGCCAGAGCAGAGUGAACAAAGCAGAGAGGAGAGGGGAUUGUCUCCUGAGUCUGCUGCCUGCUGCGUGGAGGCCGUGGGUUUUACUGAUACUCUGCACUCUUGUCCUCACAGAUCAGCAGGCAUGCUUCUGUACCUGCCACCAGUGGCCCCUUGCUGAGGGCCCUCCUGUGCACCGUGUCAUCUCAGCUCCCAAAUACCCUCAUUAUUCCCACUUUGUAGAUGAGAAAACUGAGGGAUGAGAUGGGAUUCAUCUGGAAAAAGGUAUGUGUUGGGGGAGGGCCUGGGCCUCUCUAAUGUUCUCAGGGAGGAGACCACGAGGCCUGUCAUAAGAAGGGAACCGGCUUUUCUUUGGCUGUUCCACUCGGCUUCCAGAAAAGCCCAAAUCUUGGGGUCACAGGCUCCUCCAGAGUGGGGCAGGAGCCCUGCUGUCCCCAGUCUUCCUUCCCUAGGCUGAUGGCCCUCAGUGACAGCCAGCAGCCGUAGAAUUGGCACCCCCCCUGGUGUGGGGGUGGUCAGUUGAGAGAACGAGGUUUUUCCUACCAGACAGGCCUAAAGGAUUGUGGGAGGAAUCGGGGUGGUUCUCAGCAGGACAAAAGGAGGCUGGCUGGGCUUCGGGUGGGGAACCGACUUCCACCUUUGAGGGAGGGGGCCAGCCUCCUGACCAACCCGCUAAGUCCCUUGGCCUGUCUUAGCAAGUCCCAUAGAAUUGAGGUCUAGAAAAUGUUUCCUCACUCGUGCGACAGAUAUUUUCAUGGGUCUGUUUGUCCUGUGAGGAACGGUGGAGGGGCGGCUGGCUGGCUGGGUGGGUGAGGAAGUGAUGAAUGAAGGACCAGACGGGGGGAUGGAUUCGUGGCUGGACAGACAGAUACGCGAGGAGAUGGGUAGCUGAGUCGGUGGUGGCUGAAUGGGUGGUCGUGGAAAGGAUGAGUGGAUGGUUUAGUGACUCAUGAGUGGGUGUAUUAAGUAUCUCCUAGAGUGUAAAAAAUCACCCCAAAAUGUAGUGGCUUGGAACAACAAAUAGGCAUCAUCUCACUGUUUCUGUGGGGUGGGAACUCAGGAGGGGCUCGGCUGGGUGGUUCUUACUCAGGGCUCCCAUGGGGCUGCCAUCGGGACAGCAGCCAGGGUCUCGGUCUCAUCUGAAGGCAUCCCGGGCUGGAGGGCCCACUUCUGCGAUGGCGUCCCACACUGCGGUUGGCCGAAGGACUCAGUUUCUCCUCCACUGGUUCUCCAGAAGCCUACUUAAGUGUUCUCAUGACGUGGCUCUUUCUACAGUGAGCGACCAAAGCCGAAACUAUGAGGACCUUUAUCACUAAGGUCUCUGAUGUCAGCAAGUCAACUGACGUCAGCCCACGCUCAGGGGAGGCAAAUUAGGACCCACCGCUGGAAGGAAGAGCAUCAGAGAACUUGUGGACAGAUUUUUAAAACUGUGGCAACAGAUAAAGGGAUGGUGUACCCACUGUUCUUCCGUGACACUGGGAUCUUAGCAUGAUCUCAGCGCAUAGCCCACUUGUGAAAUUCACCUGGGACGCUGCUAGACACUCUCCGAGCCGGGGUGCCAGCCCCAGGCCCUCUUAAGGACUUGCUCUGAGCAGAGACUGGACAUUUGUGGGUUCAUUUUGUGGGAAGAUCUUAAACUGUAGCCAUAACAUUUCUGUUUCCACCACAUUUUGUUACUGUGGUAAAGCGUACACAUUGUAAAACAGACCGUUUUAGCCUCUUUCGAAGGUGUGGCUCCGUGGCAAUGGGUUUAUUCAGGUGGUGGACCCCUCCCCUCCAGAAAUGUUUGUUUUCUGAAACUGAAGCCCUACCUGUUCAACCCGACUCCCCACUCCUCCCUCCCCAGCCCACAGCGAGGCCAUGUUCCGUCUCUCCGAGUUCCCCCUGCUCCAGACCCAGCGGAGUGGAUGGAACCCCGGGGCCUCGGGCUUGAUUGACUUAGCACAGUGACGUCAUUGUAGGCACGUCAGAGCUUCAUUGCUGUUGCAGCUGAAUAACCUUCCGUUGUCUGGAUGGACCCCGUUUAGUUUAUGCAUUGUCUGUCGGUGGGCAUUGAAGACAGUAUCCACGUUGGUAUUGUCAAGGCUACCAGGGAUGAAAAACAAGGCCUUAGACGGGGCCUCACAGUCCUGGCUGCACGUGCCAAUCACCCGGUAGCGGUUCAAAAAAUACCAAUGCCCCAUGAGCCUGGCCGACCCCCUGGAUCGGGAUCUCUGGGGGUGGGGGGGACCCAGGAGUCUGUAAGAAUAACCAGUUCCUUCCCCUAGAACGCCAGGGGGUGCGGACUCAUUGCCAAGCCUCUGCUGCCCCCUUGUGGCAGCACCUGGGAUCCUCCCUCCCCCGGGACUCGCCGGCCUGCUCAUAAGGAGCCCAGGAGGGCCAGGCCCCCAUGCCAUUCCCUGACCACAGCUGCGUCUGGACAAGUCCCUGAGAUCACAGUUACGGAUGCGGGUUAGCUUUGGGGAGCACCUGGAAUUCCUCAGCCUCGGCACUGCUGACAUUUCGAAACCCUACAAAACCACCUCCGUGGAGAGCCACUGCCCCACGAGUGUGUGAUGCCUGCAGGAGGAGAAGCCAGCAGAUGGAGAAGGUGCGGCAGGAGGGCGCAGGCCUGGCCCAGUCGGGGUGGACCCUGGCAUGGUGAGGAAAUGGUGGUUCAGAGAGGUCAUCGGACUUGCCCAAGCCCACACAGCCUGGAGGAGGAAUCACUUCAGUGCAAACUCAGGAGAGAGGUUCGAGACCCGGACACAGGGGAGAACAUCACUGCAGACAGAGCAGAGAGGGGAGGCAUGCAGCCCCAGAUCAAGAAACAUCCAACAUGGCCAGCAGCCGCCAGCACCGAGGACAGAGGCAUGGACAGCACUGUCCCCUAGACUUGGACUUCAGACUUCGGGCCCAAAACCGUGGGAGAAUGCGUUUCUGUUGGUUUAAGGCGCCCAGCACGUGGUAUGUUGUGUGCCGCCCAGCCGCUCGUCUGUAGGGUCUGCCGUCAAGCUAGGGCUCGGUGUUUGUUGAAUGAGUAAGAACCGGCGGUGGGGGGGGGGCUUGCUGGCCUGUGAAGGGACCAGAAGGGAAACAGUCCUCCGCUGAGCUUUCUCUGGCUGCCUCAAGGAGCUUUGUGACCCCGCAGGUCCCCGCAGGCUACGCACAUGACACUGUCCCCCUGCCCUCCCCACCAGUGGCCCUGUUUUGCUACAGACUUCGGGCAGCCCCACACGGCAUCCAGCAUCCAGGCAGAUGCGGGAUCCCAUUCUUUGAGCAAGAGCAGAGACCGACUGGGCCUCACCCCGGUGAAUGAUAGCGGAGAGAAAGCGCGCUGCGGGCUCUGGGGGGCGUGUCCUUCUUUCUUGCUUCCCCCGUUCUGGACUGGCCGGCAGGAGUGUCAGCUUUGGAAAGAAUCUUCAUCCUGUCGAUGUCUUUGAACUUCGGACCACUCUGUGCCCGCCCCCCCAGUCCCUCCUGGGCUUCCAGCGACAUCAGAUGAAAGACAGCCUUUUGGUGGGAGCUGAACACAUCCAGACGCAUGCGCCAGCCCUCAGAGGUAGGGCCUUUCGUCCUCAUCGAGAAACAGACUCGAGGGAGACUAAGUCACUUCCCCUGGGGACGUAAGGCAGGAAAGUGGCAGAGCUGGGAUUCCCAGCCAGGCCUGUCUGCCUCAACAUCCCGUAUAUUCAGCCGCCUCUCCACACUUGCUCUUGGUCUUAACUGUCUUGAUUUUACACGAGGCUGAGGGCCUGUGGAAGGCGCCGCUCAGCCAGCUCUAAGCCCAGCGGGGACAGUGUGUCGUGCGUCCACGACAAAGCAAUGACUGCCUUGUCAGCGCUGGGGCCUCACUGAACCAGGAAGAGCGCCCAGGACUUGGACACGCAUUAGCAGACUUGCUCCUUCACAGUAAUCCUAACACCGAUGAGGAUCCUGAGCCCCACAGAGCCUGGCAGCUGUGUGCGGAGCCGUGCAGACUGUGAGGGGCGGAACUGGGCUUCAAAAAUCGCUCGGUCUCACUCUGGAGCCCUCCCACCCUGGCCCUAGCCCCCCCAUCUAUAAUAUGCGCUCACGGGGCUGGACUCUGAUGAUGACUGUUGUCUUCCUGGAGCCCAGCAGUGCCUGGCUCCUGGAGGGAACUCAGCAAGUGUUUGUUGAAUGAAUAAAUGAGCCCCAGCAGGAACCUGAGGCUUGAGAAGCCCAAAGAAAAGCCUGGGGACCGGAGGCUCUUCCCAGCCAUCCUCAGUUUAGGCAGCGACUCCUACGACUCAAUAGCAACGAGACAAACAACCCGAUUUGAAAGUGGGCAAAGGACGUGAACAGACAGUUCUCCAAAGAAGACAUACAGAAGGCCAGUGAAGGUAUGUGAAAAGACACCCCACACCACUGGUCACCAGGGAAAUGCAAAUCAAAACCCAGACGAGACAGCCCCUCACACCU